CCUACGGGCGGCAGCAGUGAGGAAUAUUGGUCAAUGGGCGAGAGCCUGAACCAGCCAAGUCGCGUGAGGGAAGACGGUCCUAUGGAUUGUAAACCUCUUUUGUCGGGGAGCAAAAAGGCCUCGUCAGGCCACACGUGAGAGUACCCGAAGAAAAAGCAUCGGCUACCUCCGUGCCAGCAGCCGCGGUAAUACGGAGGAUGCGAGCGUUAUCCGGAUUUAUUGGGUUUAAAGGGUGCGCAGGCGGAAGAUCAAGUCAGCGGUAAAAUUGAGAGGCUCAACCUCUUCGAGCCGUUGAAACUGGUGUGCUUGAGUGAGUGAGAAGUAUGCGGAAUGCGUGGUGUAGCGGUGAAAUGCAUAGAUAUCACGCAGAACUCCGAUUGCGAAGGCAGCAUACCGGCGCUCAACUGACGCUCAUGCACGAAAGUGUGGGUAUCGAACAGGAUUAGAUACCCCAGUAGUC
rnacentral:rRNA from 1 species